UAUAGUGCAGUGCCCUGUAGAAAAGUAGUGCUGUCAGUGCACCUCACGUGGUGCACUAUAGACAUUAAUUUCAACUUCUUUGCUGCAGUCUCCCUCCGACCCCAAGCUGCAACCUCUUUCAGUCCUUUUGCAGUGUACCUCUGUUCAUAUUGUCUCCCAUCUGACUUUCCACCCUCUCCUAACAUUUGUUUCAUAGUGCAGCAGACAUACGCAUGAAAAUGUUCGUGCCUUCAGAUGGCUCUGACUGUGUUACAUGAAAACGAGAUUAUAUUUCCCAUUGUUUCAAAUAUCUCUAUGGAUUAGCAACCAUGAAACUAUUCACAUUUCUGUGUCUGUAGAAGGAUUAGUAUAACAAAAUACAAAGUGGGAGGAGGAGGAUGGUUUGACUUAAUCUCAGAUUAGGCCAGUGAAGUGUCGUCAUCAUGUGUCAGAUGUGAGGUUUUGGUUAUAGUUACCAUUGCUUUGAGGAAGUAGCAGGUUAGGCUUACUGGUGUCAUGAGUCAAUAGAUUGCUGUAGAUUUUUACCAUGAGUUAAUAGAUUGCUGUAGAUUUUUACCAAAAGAAAUUAGUUUUUAUUAGAUGUCUGAACUAAUUUUAACUUUUGCAGGCUGGCUUGCAGGGGUGGCCAGCCAAGGUUGCAAAACUAGGUCCAGUGUUCGGCAGAGCCCACGUAAUAAGCCCAGUCUCCCCAUGAGACAAUCUCUUAAUUACAGAGAGGCCGUUUCAGCAUGUUUGAUUGAUAACCAGGGCUUCCCUCAAGUCAUCAGUUGAGUCAGGCAUGCCACCUGCCCUUGUAGUUGAUGGAGCUCCUUUCAAGAGCUUUCAAGAUAAGAUGCUCAUAGAUUUCAACCUGCCAAAGCCUAAGGGGCUUCCCUCAAGUCAUCAGUUGAGUCAGGCAUGCCACCUGCCCUUGUAGUUGAUGGAGCUCCUUUCAAGAGCUUUCAAGAUAAGAUGCUCAUAGAUUUCAACCUGCCAAAGCCUAAGGAAAUGAGUGCCCAGGAGUCGUGUUCAGAUCAAUACAGUAAGAUUACUGGUAUCUCCAUGGCGUGGUCUGACCCCAAGGUGUGGAUUUGUCAGACCUGUGGAGCCUUUCAAAGGAGCACAUAACUGCCAAUGAAGCCACAGUAAGUGACAAGGUUACUUUAAUUAGUCAUAAGCAUGUGAAAGGUUAUUUAGAAACAAAAUACUCAAGCCGUAUUCUAAUAGUUUAUUUAAAAAAUUAUGCACAGCAAGCAGUCCAGUUCCAUGUAACAGCACAAACCUUACUUACCCAGUCAGCUAACUUAAACCUAAGCAAGUGUAUGCAUAGAAGGAUAUUAUUCCUAUCUUUUUCCUUUUAGAUUUUGAUGGCCUUCAAAUCCCCCUUACCUUAAUGAUAUUGCCACUAGCAAUCAUAUUUUAAUUUUUUUUUUACAAUCCUUAUUUUGAAAUAACCAUAAGAGGUUCUUUAAAUCUAAAAGCUUAGAUUUACUCUUAAUAAACAGAUAUUGUUGUUUCUCCUUCAUCAAGGAACCAAAUGUCCUCUGUAAUUCUAUAUACGAAAUGUGAUUAUACAAUUUAUAUAGUUCUUCCAAUCCUUGAGAACUGCUCUAAAUGAAAAUGUCUUUUAAUAACAUUAACACACUGAAAACUGGACCCACAAAUCAAGGUUCAAAAUAGUCAUCUUCAUCUAUGCAGGUUGUAGCAUUUGUACAGAUUUUCUACAGGUACUUAUAAAGGUAACCACUUUUGUAAGUGUGGAUCAACACUGGCAUUAAAUGAGACUGCAGACAAAGCUAGCAACACUGUGGCUGUUAUAAUUAGACCAAUACUAUAGCUGUAGGUGCUAGUGAUGAUUCCAGUAAUUCUGGAUGCAUAUUUAGCCGGGGGUCUGGAAUGACUCAAGUUUAAUUGAGGGUCUUUGAAACGUCUUUUCAGCCCCAAGCUGCAACCUCCUUUGUUCCUUUCUGUACCUCUGCUCAAAUUUGCUUUCUUUCGUAUUACUUUUCACCCUCUCCUAACAAUUGUAUUAUGUAUUGUGCAACUGCAAAAGUUUACCUCCUGUUGCACCUUUCAAACCUCCUCUACUUUCGGUUUUCCUUUUGGUGCAGAAUGACCUCGUAGGUGUCAGCACUCGGCUUCUGGCCUAAAUCUUAUAUUCCUUCCAUCCUUCCCGCUGAAGGAAAGCCAGAUUUGCUGAACAGCAGCACUGAUAAGCAGUAAAUGUGCCUAGUUGUCGAAUGUCUCCCAGUUCCAGAGGUCCUUUAUUCCUCGCACCUUAGGACUAUGGAACAGUCUCCCUACUGAGAAUGUAGUUUGCAGUAUGUUGAGUUCCAAAUAGUUACAAAGCAGUUUUACAAAACUAAUGUAUAUUAUUUACUCUCCAGGUUUUCAUUUUUGAGCGUUUAAAAUGCUGGGCAGGUAAUUUUCCAUUGCUUAGUAGUAUUUAUUGUUUAGUAGGAAAAGUUUUAUAAUUGCAUUGCUAUCACUAGCAGGAAUUAUUGGGAAUCCUGCAUGAUAUAUGUUGGUGACAACUAUGACACACCAGAGGUGUAGAGAAAGUGUUUUUAUUUUGCACAUUUCUUUGUUUUUACUUGCAUGUUUUUCUCCUCUGUGUUUUGUGCACAUGUUCAGUGAAGGUGACACAUUGCCUGUUAGUUGAAGGUAGGCUAUUCCGGAUGUGCCUGAGGCUAGGUUAGCUAUUGCAGGCUUUCAGUGCCAUGUUUCAGAUGUCUCCAUCUCAUUGAUAUAUUUGUCCAAAGGCUUUUUUUGGUUUCCUAUUUAAUUUUAUUAUGGCAUCAGUAACCUAGAUGCUGAGACGCCUGUUUUGGAGAACUGUGCCCAUUAGUGGAAAGGAUAGACCUUGAUACUUUGCCUGCUAAUGGGAUUUGUAGAUUCAUCUACUUUUGUACAUUUUUUUUUUUUUUGGUCAAGUGAUCCAAAUUUUAUCAUAUUUUAACCUUCUGUCAUAAUCACCGGGUAACUCCCAGGUAAAACUUAAUAUCAUUUCACCUGUUGCAUUGAUGGUAUUCCUUUUUUAAAGUGUUAACAACACCCCAAGGGUGUGUUGUUAACACUUUAAGUGACUGAACCUACAAAUCAGUCACUUCAAAGAUGUCAAGGUCAGACAGCUCCUCUUCGAUUCUUUAACAGAGUGAAAGUAGAAGUCUCAAGC